UGGGGAAUUUUGCACAAUGGGGGAAACCCUGAUGCAGCGACGCCGCGUGAUUUAGAAGGCCUUCGGGUUGUAAAAAUCUUUUCUAUGGGAAGAAAAUGACAGUACCAUAGGAAUAAGGACCGGCUAAUUACGUGCCAGCAGCCGCGGUAAUACGUAAGGUCCGAGCGUUGUCCGGAAUCAUUGGGCGUAAAGGGUACGUAGGCGGGUAAGCAAGUUAGAAGUGAAAUCCUAUAGCUCAACUAUAGUAAGCUUUUAAAACUGCUCAUCUUGAGGUAUGGAAGGGAAAGUGGAAUUCCUAGUGUAGCGGUGAAAUGCGCAGAUAUUAGGAGGAAUACCGGUGGCGAAGGCGACUUUCUGGCCAUAACCUGACGCUGAGGUACGAAAGCGUGGGCAGCAAACAGG
rnacentral:rRNA from 1 species